rnacentral:rRNA from 1 species
UACGUAGGGUGCAAGCGUUGUCCGGAAUUAUUGGGCGUAAAGAGCUCGUAGGCGGUCUGUCGCGUCUGCUGUGAAAACCUAGGGCUUAACUCUGGGCGUGCAGUGGGUACGGGCAGGCUAGAGUGCGGUAGGGGAGACUGGAAUUCCUGGUGUAGCGGUGAAAUGCGCAGAUAUCAGGAGGAACACCGGUGGCGAAGGCGGGUCUCUGGAACGCAACUGACGCUGAGACGCGAAAGCGUGGGGAGCAAACAGG